AUGGCGUAACCUGUGGUUAACUCACUUCCUGCAAGGGUGGGAAGGGUGAGUUUUGAUCCCUGAAUUUUCUGACACGGAGGAGAACUUGAAUCUGCCUCUGUUUUCUGGCUCCUAUUACACAGCUUGGUCAUAUCCCUAAUCUGUGUGAGGACACAAGGCUGUGUUGUGCACGAAGAGAAAUCCACCUGAGCUGCGCAGGAACCACAUCAUGCUCCUGCAGGUCUCCUGCCUGGGAAACCAGGGAUGGGACAUUCCUACAGGAGCACCUGCCUUGAACACAGCUAUAGCACCGAGCGCUGUAGCCAUGAAAUGUACAUAUUGCACUCUGAUGAGAUGGAUUUGCUUUUUUUUUUUUUUUUUUUUUUUCUCAUUCAAGUCAACUGUCGUUUUAUGUGAAAGUCAGGAAUAGGCUUUUUGUAAUUUAUUUAAAAUAGCAAGAGUCCAACCUAAUACGAAUUUUCCAAUGAUAACCACUCCAUGUCAUUAAUGAAUAAGUACUUCUAUACUAUUUUGGAGAACUGCCACCAUUAAGAAGUCUGCUUUUUCAGAAAGAGAACUGUUCACUAGGAAAGGAAAGGUCAAAGGCAAUUAUUUUGUCUAAAUCAUGAUGACUAUUUCUUUUGACAAGCUCUCUAACAAUUUCUGGCAUGGCCCUUAAACUGACUGAAAAUCUAGCUUGAAUAGUCUUAUCAUUGAAUGUUUGUAGUGUCAUUUUCUAUCCUGAGUUUUCAUUUUAGGCCAGUAUUGGAAAUGAAAAAAUAAUGCUGCCUUGUUUUGUCCUGAAAUGUACCAGUCAGUACCUAAUGGCUUCCCAGUUCCUUUCUUAAUUUAUUACAUCCCAGAGAAUGCACUGCAAGAAUUUAUUCACUGGGAGAGGGAGACACUUUUUCAGGUCCUUCUGAGAUAUCCCUGCUUAGUACUACAAUGUGACAUAAUUAGCAAGUGGUCCUGAUAGAAGAUCAUUAGAGAAUAUCCCAGACCAUACUAGCAAGAAUGCAUUUAGGGAUUUAGUUAAUUUUAUUUAUUUAAAACACACAUCUAAAGAAGUAGCAUUUCCUUCUAAAACCCUACCUGACUUCUCUACUACUUCUAUUACUUACUUCUCAUUUCAAAAAUUGCAUAGUGGUGAGCUUUGUAUGAGCGCUUCAGGCACAUUCUCCCCUUACAGAUUUACUGAAAUCCAAUAGACUUGUGCAUCAGACAAAACCUGGAGCAGUAGCUUGCCAUCACCUGUGGCAUCUCCUUGGGAUCCAACAAACUUUUUGACUCCUUGUUCUUGAGGAGAGGUGGGAAGAGGCAGUACAGAUUCUGCUGCAGGAAGAGCAGCAAAGGAACUUUGCCAUUACUUUGCCGUUUUGCUUCCCACUUCUGAUCAGAGUCAGGUGCCUGUGAAGGGUGAGGUGGAGCCCCUGGGAGGGGACAGGGCAGUGUAAUGGUGAAGCCAUCAGCUACUGAGGACAUUUCAGUCUUUUUUCUAUUCAGAUGCCUGGGUAGCCUACAGGUUUUAAGUACAUUUAAUUCCAUCCUGGUGCUGGAUUCCUUAGGACUAGUAAAGCCUAAUCAGAUAUACCUAACAAGAGUAAUAAUAACAGCAGUAAUAGAAACGCGCUCAUAAACAGACCUGUGAAAUUACACGAAGCAAGCUAAAGCUGUAUAGGACAGAACAAAACCAAGGACAGAA